rnacentral:rRNA from 1 species
CCUACGGGAGGCAGCAGUGGGGAAUAUUGCACAAUGGGGGAAACCCUGAUGCAGCGACGCCGCGUGAAGGAAGAAGUAUUUCGGUAUGUAAACUUCUAUCAGCAGGGAAGAAAAUGACGGUACCUGACUAAGAAGCCCCGGCUAACUACGUGCCAGCAGCCGCGGUAAUACGGAGGGGGCAAGCGUUAUCCGGAUGUACUGGGUGUAAAGGGAGCGUAGGCGGCGAUGCAAGUCAGAAGUGAAAGCCCGGGGCUAAACGCCGGGACUGCUUUUGAAACUGUAUGGCUAGAUUGCAGGAGAGGCAAGUGGAAUUCCUAGGGUAGCGGUGAAAUGCGUAGAUAUUAGGAGGAACACCAGUGGCGAAGGCGGCUUGCUGGACUGUAACUGACGUUGAGGCUCGAAAGCGUGGGGAGCAAACAGGAUUAGAUACCCUUGUAGUC